CAUGUUUACUUCGUCCCUUCAUACGCAGUUUGUCUUUGAAAGCAGCUGCACGGCAAACGACAUAAUGAGGGCAGCCGGGGCCAACCAAAAAUCGUUUGUUUGUAUACUAGCGAUGUGUCACUAGCCAAGGAAACCUGUCAUGUAGCCGACUCAUUCAAGUGUAUAAUCACAAUCCGCUGCUUUGUUUUUUUUUCUCUCUCUUUACACUGCCUUCCAGUGCAAGCCGCGUCUGAUUGGUUAACUAUCGGCUAGGGGCGGGGCUUACAGAGACACAGCACACUGAAAGACACAACACGCUGGAGAGGGCAGGUGGAAAAAGUAACACUACCCUUGCAGAGAGCACCUCCCGUGCAGCGUACGCCUUUUAACUGCACCGCUUCACUCAUCCGCAACUGCAAACUGCUGGCAGGUCGGGAUGGGGCUUCACCCCUUCAUCAUCGCUUUGGUGCUUUCUGUCGUGGUGAUGGCGUUGGCAGCUGCUGUCUUGAUUGUGCGCAUGUACUGCUUCCGGGUCAAGAAGAGCAGCUAUAGAUACUCUCUGCUCAGACAUCUGGAGGAGGACACCCCGAUGUUGAUGGAGGAGGUUGGCGACGAGGGGACUUGCAUGGAUUCAGACGAGGUGUCUGGAUUUUGUCGCACGAAAUGACUAAAUUGUUUGGUAAAUUCAUUUGGGAAUUGCUUGCAUGGACGUUUGCAGAGGUCAGGUGAAUGGUUUCUCCCAACGUUUUUACUCUUAGGACCUUCUAAUCAAGCCAAUUGAUAUGUAACAUUUUUUGCGGCUACCCCUUGUGGCUGUGCGAAGAAGUUACAUGCUGCAUAUUUCAAGGAUAAACAACAGAGAAAGUCUUUGCCCCCCUUCCUGAUUUUUUUUUUUCAGAUCUUCAAACUAGUUUAAAUAUUAGUCAAUGAGAACAACUGAGCACCAAAUGUAGUUAUUUUUUAUUAUUAAGAGAAAAAAUAUCCAAGCCUACAUGGCACUGCGUGGAAAAAGUCAUUGCCCCCCCUAAAACCUAGCUAAUAUGAAUGGAGAAAAGCUUUGGGACUCCAGCAAACCACAGUGAGAGCCAUUAUCCAUAAACGGCCUAAAUAUGGAGCAGUGGUGAAUUAUGAUUUUCAAAUGUAUUCUCAUACAAUCACUACUAUUCUUGUCUAUUUUAACUUUUUUUCAUUUUCUUGAAGAAUUUUUAUUUUUUAUUUUUUAUUUUUUAUUUUUUAUUUUUUAUUUUUUAUUUUAUUUUAUUUUAUUAUUUUUUUUUUUCUUGAAGAAUUUUUAGAAUUUGCCACAGGCCAAUAAAUAAACAACCGCGGACCACAAAUAGCCACCAGCCCGCACUUUGGAGAGCCCUGUUCUAGUUUUCAAGCUUAGCCGCAUUGGCCUUUGAAUCCAUUCAUGACAUGGAUGGACUUCCAUUGGUAAGAAGAGGCAGGAAGAGGCAGACCCACACAAGCAUUGUUGUCGCUCUUACACACAAGCUUAACUUUCACUUGUACUCAAACUGAACUCAAAUAGGGGCAAAGUGCAUGUGUCCGCCCAUCAUUGUGGAAGCGUCCUUGUCAAUGCAAGAGGUCCAGCACUGUGAUGAAAUAGAUUGCUCUUAUUUUUUUGAUUGCGAGCUUCUCCGAUAGCAGUGCAGUCCCAAGCACCGUGAAGAAAAGCUAAGGAAAAGAAAUAGCUUUGACAGAACCCAUAGAAUUAAUAACUGGUUGACCACCCCCUAGGCAGCAAUAACCUCCAGCAGGUGCCGACUGGAGCUGUGGACCAGACAUGUGCAUGUCCUGGUCCUUGGAGGAAUUUUAGGCUCCCGUCAUGUUCUUUGGAGAUCUCAUAGGACAGGGGUCCCCAAAUCGCGGCCUACGUUUGUCCUAUAAACAGUACAUAGACGAAAUGCUGUGUUCUCAGAUUACUUCAUAUUAUUAAUAAUAAUAUAAUUUAUAAUUUUAUAUAAUUAAAAAUAAUAAUAAUAAUAUAAUUUUAUAAUUAUUUUUAGAAUUUUUUUACAUUUAAAAUAUUUUUUAUAUUUUAUAAUAAUUAUUAUUAGCAGUAGUAUUAUCAUAUAUAU